ensembl:lncRNA NCF1B neutrophil cytosolic factor 1B (pseudogene)
GAGCACUGGAGGCCACCCAGUCAUGGGGGACACCUUCAUCCGUCACAUCGCCCUGCUGGGCUUUGAGAAGCGCUUCGUACCCAGCCAGCACUAUGUACAUGUUCCUGGUGAAAUGGCAGGACCUGUCGGAGAAGGUGGUCUACCGGCGCUUCACCGAGAUCUACGAGUUCCAUAAAACCUUAAAAGAAAUGUUCCCUAUUGAGGCAGGGGCGAUCAAUCCAGAGAACAGGAUCAUCCCCCACCUCCCAGCUCCCAAGUGGUUUGACGGGCAGCGGGCCGCCGAGAACCACCAGGGCACACUUACCGAGUACUGCGGCACGCUCAUGAGCCUGCCCACCAAGAUCUCCCGCUGUCCCCACCUCCUUGACUUCUUCAAGGUGCGCCCUGAUGACCUCAAGCUCCCCACGGACAACCAGACAAAAAAGCCAGAGACAUACUUGAUGCCCAAAGAUGGCAAGAGUACCGCGACAGACAUCACCGGCCCCAUCAUCCUGCAGACGUACCGCGCCAUUGCCAACUACGAGAAGACCUCGGGCUCCGAGAUGGCUCUGUCCACGGGGGACGUGGUGGAGGUCGUGGAGAAGAGCGAGAGCGGUCAGACCUCCCACCUUACGGGGCUCCUUCCCCUGGUGCUCAGGAACCCACAGCCACAAGCCCCCUGCCAAGGCUCAGGCAGCCUGGCCCCUGGGAGGACUCCGGCUCUGUUAGGGGCCCUAAAUGUCCUCCCCACACUGUGGGUCGCCUUCUCUCUUAGUGUGCACCCUGUGGUGGCUGUGGGCAUCUGUGCAUGGCAGGCCGGGGCGGGGCAUGUCUGCGUGUUCUGUCUGGAUGGGUAUGGGACCGUCUGUUCAUUAUGAAGUGGGCUCAGAGCUGUGAUUCUGUGAGCAUGUGUGCAUGCAUGCAUGUGACCUCAUUGUCCAGUGUGGUGAA